UACAGAGGGGGCAAGCGUUAUUCGGAAUUAUUGGGCGUAAAGGGCGCGUAGGCGGCUUUGCAAGUGACGGGUGAAAGCCCUCGGCUUAACCGAGGAACUGCCUGUCAGACUGUAAGGCUUGAGACCGGGAGAGGUGAGUGGAAUUCCCAGUGUAGCGGUGAAAUGCGCAGAUAUCGGGAAGAACACCCGUGGCGAAGGCGGCUCUCUGGGACGGUACUGACGCUGAGACGCGAAAGCGUGGGGAGCGAACAGG
rnacentral:rRNA from 1 species